CUCAUCUGCCAACACAGGAGGACAAAACAUCAGCUGUGCACAACGGGGAGAAGAUUUCUACCAGAGGCCAACGGUUUUCCCUUUCUGUGUAAACAGAGCACAAUGCCUCAUGAGGAGGGAAAUUCUCAGAUCGAUUCUAGUUGGUAGCAGAACGGCAGGAGAGAUGAAAUCCCCGAGACCUGCUGAAGGCUGGAUGACGGCGGACAUGCGUCUUCAGUGAUGCCAACCGGGAAGGUUGGAGGUGAUGACAGGAGGACAGGACAGGACAGGAGCUGAAGGUCACCGAGUUUAAGACCUUCAGUCUCUGUGGGAGGCCUGGUGUGGACGGAAAACUGUCAGAUUCAUGUGGGUUUUAGUGAGAAAUGAGAGUUAAUCGUCUUUCCAUCGAUGAGAUGAUGCAUCAGCACCACAUCGUACUUUACAUUUAUCCAGAACAAAUAAUUUUAUUAACCUGUGACUUAGAGGGAUUUUCUUUUUGCAGAUUUGCUCAGCUGUGUGAGUUGUUGUCAGUUUUAUGAGGCUGAAGUAAAGUAUGACAGGAAGACCUGCAGCUAAGUUAGCGGCAGGAAUAUCCAAAUCAAAUGAGGGUAGAGAUGCUGUCAGGGCCGAUGAAUUUCUGCUAGAAGAUGACUGAUGGGAGUUUGAAAGACGAAGUGAUGUUGGAGGUAAAGAUGAUGAAGAAGUUGAGGAUUUCCUGCCUCAGAGAGACGAAGCACAAAGAGCAGUUGGCUGUCAGACAUCUGGAUCUUUAAAUGAAGGAGUUUUACUGAAACCUUCCUCACUGAACCAACUGAUUCCUUUGUGCCAUAAACAAUGUGUUGCUUUGGUGCAAAAAUCCCGUAAAAGGAGCCGUUAAACGGGGAAACAUGCAGAAAGAAGUCAUUUUUUAGCUUCUUAUAGUUUUUAUUCAUCAUUCACAUUAAUGUGUCCUGCAGUGGAAAUGUGAAACUCUUUGUUGCACAUGUUUAAAAAACGAUUUCCACCGAGAGUCAGACGUGACUCUGUUGGAGCAGAGUGUGACCCCAAACCAGAACCAGAACCAGAACCAGAACCAGAUGAAAAGGACAAGAAUCAGAACCAACAUCCAGAACUUCAUGAUGUUCUGCAUAUUCAGGUAUUGAUACCAAGACGCCGAAUCCCCAGAGGGGUGAAAUCAGAUUAGUAAUGAAAUCCUCUGGCAGGAGUCACACAUCAUCUGUUCAGCUAACAAAGGCAGGAAAGCCUGGGGAGGGAAAGCUUCUGUAGCAUUGUGCAGCGCUGAGUGUGAGGAAGAUGGUUAAAGGCGGCGCAGGCCCAUGGGGUCCGGACCAGAACGGACCGGACCAGGGCUUCGGGUUCUGCUCCUCCGUCAGGCCCCUGGGGUCCGGACCAGACCGGACCAGGGCUUCGGGUUCUGCUCCUCCGUCAGGCCCCUGGGGUCCGGACCAGACCGGACCGGACCGGACCGACCAGGGCUUCGGGUUCAGACAGGAAGUUUGAACCUGAAGUUCUGGUAAACGCUCCAUGAGAGGAAAUCCCAUUUUCACGAGUGACUUCCUGUUCUUCCAAACACGGCGGGCCGGUCGGCUUUCACUUACACUGAUAUGGAAAUAAAUCUGGGUCACAUCCGGAACAUUAAAUCGGGCUGAAACUGUAAAUGUAAAGUUGUAUUUUUUCUGUCUUUAAAAAUAGAGGAGCUUCAUUUUUCUUGCAUUUAUUCCAAGAUAUUGAUAUUCAGCCAAAACGCAGCGUUGGUCUGAAUUUUCAGGGCUUAUCAUAGACUGAAUGCAAAUGUCCUUCACGGUUCUUUGUGUGUUCAUGGAGCAGUCAGCCAUUACAGAACUUCUCCCAUUAUUUACAUAAGUCAAGGGAGGCUGCAUGUAAAAAAUA